UACGUAGGGUCCGAGCGUUGUCCGGAAUUACUGGGCGUAAAGAGCUCGUAGGUGGUUUGUCGCGUUGUUCGUGAAAACUCACAGCUUAACUGUGGGCGUGCGGGCGAUACGGGCAGGCUGGAGUUCGGUAGGGGAGACUGGAAUUCCUGGUGUAGCGGUGAAAUGCGCAGAUAUCAGGAGGAACACCGAUGGCGAAGGCAGGUCUCUGGGCAUUAACUGACGCUGAGGAGCGAAAGCAUGGGGAGCGAACAGG
rnacentral:rRNA from 1 species